GGUCUGCUCGUCUAACCGGCCAGGAUAUCACACUUUCAAUGUGAUGAUGGGAGUUCGAAUCUCCUGCAGACUGCCA
rnacentral:tRNA from 1 species